rnacentral:tRNA from 1 species
GCGGCGGUCGUCUAGCCUGGACUAGGACGCCGGUCUGCCACACCGGAGAUCCCGGGUUCAAAUCCCGGCCGCCGCA